CCCCACCGUCGCCCCUGCCAGCCACGGUUCAGGUGAGGACAGACUCUGAGAGUUAAGGGGUGGGUGAGCUGCGUGCGCCGGGCUUCUUAGGAGACCCUCGGAGUAGCCCACCACCCUGCGCAGUAGUGGAGGGUGACCAGGAAAGGGGCACCCGCUCUUCUGCCUGGCUUGCUCGGCCUUCAUCCUGCAGAGGCCGGCUCUUGGUCCGGUGGUGAGUCAACACCAGAUAGCAGCCCGGGAGCCCAUCUCACUGCGCAUCUUCCCUCGGGUGCUCCCCGCCUGCCACCUGCCCCAGCACGCCUGUCGUUUGCAAGCAAGGCUGCUACUCAGCAUUUACCACUCAGGGCCGUCCCUAGAGCCGCUGACUCAGCGAGUCCCUCUGCGCGGCCGUGGGAUCUGCUGGAGACGUCAUCGCACCUGGUGCUGGGAAAGCCGGGCCGUGGGUCUCGGUGACUUGCCGGCUCCCCUGCCGUUGGAGCCCAGCUCAGCCCUGCCGUGCCUCCUGGUCCCCCAGAAGGAAGGCUGUGGGGCUUCUUUGUAAACAUCACUAUUAACCUGAACCAGCUCGGGCACCCGGAAACACUCACGUGAACAGGGUGAUUCCAGAUAAAAUCAGACAUGAACUUCAUAGAAAGGAAGGGGGACACGGCCUGCUGAACACGGGGGUUCGCUGUGCUGUGAGGGUUCCGGAGGACGCGUAGGACACCACCAUUGGAAGGCACUUCCUGGUCCCAAGUAGGUACAUGUGUCACUCAAGAGGGAUGGCAUUGCAGAGGCUCUGUCCCCAGGCACUCGGCUUGGCCUCCCACACCCAGCUCCCCGACACCAAGACCAGAGAAGCUUGUCCCUCAGAGCCUCGGUCUCCCCCGUCACCAGAGUGUGUGUGCAGAGCCCUGCUCGUGGCUGGCUCUGGCUGGCACGCAGCCAGUCAGGACACCCCCCACAGUGGCCCUGGUGUUAGGAGGUCAGCGUGGGGACCCGGCCAGGAGUCACGUGGGCCCAACCAGGGUUCCCCGAGGGAGCGUCCAGAGCGUCAUCUGGGACCUCUAGGACCGUGUCCUUUGUUUCCCAACGUGGUGGGCAGAAGGGACUCAGAGAAGUCCACGUCCUGAUCCGGGGACCCAUGAAUAAGUUCCGUCACCAGGACGGAGGGCUGUGGGGAUGGAGUGGUGUUUCUUUUUAGGAAAAGGGAACUGCUCAGCACCUGCUGCGGGGCCAGCCUAAUCUCACCAGGUCUCCGGAGCAGAGAACCUUCUAGGUCUGGAAGCAGAGGGGGAGCCUGGGAAGUUCCAGAAGGCCAGCCCCUUGCCAGCUCCACAGAGGCCACACGCAAGGACCAGCCAGAGGCCCCGGAUGCCCAGGAGAGUCCAGCUGGCAGCUGGCAGGGACACAGGCACCUGCAGCCACCGGAACUAGGGUCUGGGUGGCCUGGGAGAGCGCAGAGUGGGCUCUGCUAGCGCCUCCUGGUUAGAGCCCAGCUGGGCCACAGCAGGACUUCCACCCGAGAUCACAGCAGAGGCGGCCGCUGACUCUGUCAGCCUGGUGCCUGGGGAGGGCCCACGACCCACCCGGCCAUCUUGGGCCAGGCCCUCCCUCCUCCCUCCGCCCCAGACCCAGGCACCCCCUUCCCAGGGCCCCUGCACCUGCUGUCCACCUGGGCCCUCUUGCCCCCGCUGACCUCUUCCCUCUGUCCUCUCAGUAAGCCCAGCCAUGCCCUGUCAGGCCCCGACCCUCAGUCCCGCCUUAUUUCUGUAAUUUAGCAAACAUACAUUCAGGAUCUGGCUCUUCUAUUAACCAGUGGCUCUCACCUGGCAGUACUGUUGUCCCCUCCCCUAGAUACAGGUGACAAUGCCUGGAGGCAUCUUUAGCAUCAUGACUGGGGGUCAGGACCAGGAAAGGACCCGGGAUGCUGACCCGCUUUCUACAGUGCGCAGGACAGCCCACCCCAAGGCAUGGCCCAGCCCCGACGUCAGCAGCAGUGACCGACCGUGAACUGUCUAAACUCUCAGCUCUGCGGGACACCCACUUCCUCUCGCUCUGUGUGCUGGCCCCUGGAAAGGACAGAGCCUGGCACGUAGUUGGCACUCCCCAGAUCCGUCUGGAUGGGGAGCGUGUGGAAGGUCACUUCCUAGGACCAGCCAGCGCUCGCCCCUCCAUCCCAGCUGCUCAGUGGUUACCCAUCACCACCUCCUCCUUCCCCAAACUCACAGAAGCAGGACCAGACUUCUGCUUCCGCUCUGAGGCCCUUGGGGGACUCUGUCCCCUUCUGUCCUCCUGAGCCGAGUCUGCCUCUGGCCUCCUGCUGUGGAUGGUGAGACCCUGCUCUUCCUGUGGGCAGGUUCCCUCCUCUCCCCAGCCAGGCCCUCCCUUCCCUCCCGGCGUCCUGAUGUGGAAGAAAACCCUGUGAGUCCAUCUGGUGCAGUGACCUGGGCUGACAUUUCAUUCUCUCAGGCCCCUCGAGGCCUGGGGUCGGUGGAGUGCGACUGACACAAGCUGCUUUAGCAAAGCAAGUGAAUGGGGCGGCCCUGGAGUCCCUCCAGAGGAGCCCGCUGGCCGGCGGCCUGCUGAGCCGCCAACCCCAGGGAGAGCGGAGAGAGACGGGAGCCGCGAUUCUCAAAUAAGACUCUCUCCCAGAAACUAAUGUUCUGGAAAACUCUUUCUAAUUAGCCAUUAAUUGGUACAUCAGCAGCACCGUGUGCUGAGGAUUAAGUGGGUAAUUCCCAUUACUUGCAGGAGCACUGCGAUGCGUCCAGUCAGCCGGGCAGUGAGCAGCCUCCUGUGCCCGACGCCGCCCGCCAGCCCAGGCCUGAGCAGCUGCGGCCCACGGUGCAGCCCUUGCUCGGUGGAGCCUCGGCCCUCACCUCCCCAGCAGCCUCCAGACACGUGUCCGCCUGCAGCUGAUUCUCCUUUCCGACUUCUUGGGCGGACAGUUUUGGAGACUGCUUCAUUGCGUAUGUCCCCGUCUCCCGCUCAGGAAGCUCGUGUGGGCGCCUCUUGGUCACUCGAGGUGCCACUGUGGGUGAUUUUCGCUGUGCUCGUUGGUUCUAUAGCACCACUUAUUUUAAACAGCUCUGAUCCAGCUCUUAAUCAGAGCAUUUUAUGAUACUGUCAUUACAAAAAGCCCUGGACUUUAUUCUCCAUUAAAAAGAUCAUCAAGUCAC